rnacentral:rRNA from 1 species
GACGAACGCUGGCGGCGUGCUUAACACAUGCAAGUCGAACGGAAAGGCCCUGCUUUUGUGGGGUGCUCGAGUGGCGAACGGGUGAGUAACACGUGAGUAACCUGCCCUUGACUUUGGGAUAACUUCAGGAAACUGGGGCUAAUAUCGGAUAGGAGCUCCUGCUGCACGGUGGGGGUUGGAAAGUUUCGGCGGUUGUGGAUGGUCUCGCGGCUUAUCAGCUUGUUGGUGAGGUAGUGGCUUACCAAGGCUUUGACGGGUAGCCGGCCUGAGAGGGUGACCGGCCACCUUGCGCCUACGAGACGGACCAGACUCGUACGGGCGGCAGCAGUGGGGAGUAUUGCACAAUGGGCGGAAGCCUGAUGCAGCGACGCCGCGUGCGGGAUGACGGGCUUCGAGUUAUAAACCGCUUUCGCAUGUGCCGAAGAGUGAGUGACGGUACUGGGUAAAGAAGCACCGGCUAACUACGUG